CCUACGGGGGGCUGCAGUGGGGAAUUUUGGACAAUGGGGGCAACCCUGAUCCAGCCAUGCCGCGUGCGGGAAGAAGGCCUUCGGGUUGUAAACCGCUUUCGGCCGGAACGAAAUCGCCGGGGAGAACAUCCCCGGUGGAUGACGGUACCGGACGAAGAAGCACCGGCUAACUACGUGCCAGCAGCCGCGGUAAUACGUAGGAUGCGAGCGUUAAUCGGAAUUACUGGGCGUAAAGCUAAGACAGGCGGUUACUCCCCGGGCUUAACCUGGGAACUGCGUUUGUGACUGGCGGGCUGGAGUGCGGAAGAGGGAGGUGGAAUUCCACGUGUAGCAGUGAAAUGCGUAGAGAUGUGGAGGAACACCGAUGGCGAAGGCAGCCUCCUGGUCUAGCACUGACGCUCAUGCACGAAAGCGUGGGGAGCAAACAGGAUUAGAUACCCCAGUAGUC
rnacentral:rRNA from 1 species